rnacentral:lncRNA from 1 species
CAUCGAGUUCAAGACUCAACCCACAGCUCCCAAAGCCCAAGCAUCGAAACAGGGCAAAGGUGGGGGAGCGAAAUCAGGUCACAAAGGAGGUACAAAGGGCUCGAAUCCGAGCUCCUCGAGUGGAGGGGCUUCCCAAGCGAAGGGCAAAGGGGUGGCGCAAGGUACCAGCACCAUCUCAUGCUAUAUUUGCAAUGGACCGCACAAGGUGAAGGACUGUCCAUUGAGGGGCAAGAUAGCAUCUAUGGCGGUGGAGGAGAAGCAAGAGACCGACCAAAGGAUGGGCUCAC